rfam:Triticum aestivum genome assembly, contig: Triticum_aestivum_CS42_TGACv1_scaffold_094460_2AL
CCACUACUGAGUUGGUAAAACAUAAGGCUCUUAACCUUGUGGGCAUGGGUUCAAGCCCCAUGAUGGGGG